rnacentral:lncRNA from 10 species
ACUCUAUCAAUUUCCUGGAGUUCUCAGCACCAGCCAUGGUGUCUCUCUUCUCAGUGUCUUAUUUCAGCCUGCAUCUGUGUUUACAGGAUUACCCUCACCCUCCUCAACUCUCUAACUCCUGCUUGCUUCAUUUACCACUUCCUCGAGGAAACCUUCUGUCACCUUUCCAGGCAGUAACUUCAAGGUGUUGUGGUGGAUGUAGAUUUUUGCUGCAAGGAAAUAACAGUAAGUGUUUCUAUAUAUGCAAUAACUUUUUAAAAACUACAACCUCUCA